AGCCCAUGAAGGUGCUCGGAGCAACCUUGGGUGUCGGGCUGGCCUUGCUGAUCCUGGUGGGUUUUGGCUAUACCUUCAUCCGGUGGUACCAGAGGGGAUGGUGCUGGUGCCGUGAGUAUGGGCAGUAUGGGCCUGGGAUGUGGGGAGCAUGCCUGACAUUUACUGACGUUACUGGGGAACCCCACAUGCAGGGUGGCUCCGGGGCAAGCUGGGGGCAUGCAGAGGCUGGCGAGGGGGUGCACAGUGAUGUCCUGGUGCAGCCGGCUGCUCCGCAGGCUGUGCUGUCCUGUCCUUUUCCACGCCACUGCACAGAUCCGUGGCAAAGCAAAGGUGAGUUCACAGCACCAUGGGGCUCUGACACUUCUCCUUCUCGCCUCCCCAGGGCCUGACUUCGUUUUCAAUCUCUACCACGCCUGCGGGUUGGUGGCAGUGGAGCUGGUGCCACCAUUCAGCAUCAGCGGCUCGCUAAGCGGGACAGGGAGCAGCUACGCACCUUUCCAUAACGAGGGGCCAUGAGCAGGAGCCAGGAUGUGCAGCUGCGUUUCCCUUUUGGCCCUCCUUGGCCACUGGAUGGUGCCUGGGGCUGGCUGCCAUCCCCAUGCACUGCCACAGCCUCCCCUUGCUUGGGCUGGAGGAAGAGGGAGCUGACUUAUCCCAGGCUUCCUCAGCGUGCAUCCCAGAGGGACGAGCUGCCUUCCCUGCGACUUGGAGACACCCCAUCCCUCAGGACCAGCCAGCCGCAUGCCCAGGAGACCUUGGGCCAAGGCUGUUGGUGAACAGGUCAAUGUGAGA